CCUACGGGGGGCAGCAGUGGGGGAUAUUGCACAAUGGGGGAAACCCUGAUGCAGCGACGCCGCGUGGGCGAAGAAGUAUUUCGGUAUGUAAAGCCCUAUCAGCAGGGAAGAAGAAAUGACGGUACCUGAGUAAGAAGCACCGGCUAAAUACGUGCCAGCAGCCGCGGUAAUACGUAUGGUGCAAGCGUUAUCCGGAUUUACUGGGUGUAAAGGGAGCGCAGGCGGCACGGCAAGCCUGAUGUGAAAGCCCGCGGCCCAACCGCGGGACUGCAUUGGGAACUACCGGGCUGGAGUGCCGGAGAGGUAGGCGGAAUUCCUAGUGUAGCGGUGAAAUGCGUAGAUAUUAGGAGGAACACCAGUGGCGAAGGCGGCUUACUGGACGGUGACUGACGCUGAGGCACGAAAGCGUGGGGAGCAAACAGGAUUAGAUACCCUAGUAGUC
rnacentral:rRNA from 1 species